rnacentral:rRNA from 1 species
CGGCGAACGGGUGAGUAACACGUGGGUAAUCAACCCCUGACAUCGGGAUACCCCGGGGAAACCCGGAUCAAUACCGAAUAAGGUGCGGAGCCGCAGGGCGCCGUACCAAAGGUAGCUUCGGCCUCCGGUCAGGGACGAGCCCGCGGCCCAUUAGCUUGUUGGUGAGGUAACGGCUCACCAAGGCGACGAUGGGUAGGGGAUCUGAGAGGACUAACCCCCACACUGGUACUGAGACACGGACCAG